GGCGUGGUCGUCGCGGUGGUCGUCAAACCCGCAAACCGGGGGCGCGGCGUCCCACAACUAUGGCGCUUUUCCCGCCUAGGACAUCGCCCUCUCACGGCGAAAACCCGGGUUCGAACCCCGGUGGGGUCA
rnacentral:tRNA from 1 species